GUGGAUGUAGCUCAGAUGGUUAGAGCUCCGGGUUGUGGUUCCGGUGGUCGUGGGUUCAAGUCCCAUCAUUCACC
rnacentral:tRNA from 1 species